rnacentral:rRNA from 1 species
CUGCUGCCUUCCGUAGGAGUCUGGUCCGUGUCUCAGUACCAGUGUGGGGGACCGUUCCUCUCAGAACCCCUACGCAUCGUCGCCUUGGUGGGCCGUUACCCCGCCAACUAGCUAAUGCGACGCAUGACCAUCCGUAGCCGGAAUCGCUUCCUUUAAACCCGAGGAGAUGCCUCCUCGGGUUGUUACGCGGUAUUAGACGGAAUUUCUUCCGCUUAUCCCCCUGCUACGGGCAGGUUUCAUACGUGUUACUCACCCCGUGCGCCGGUCGCCGGCGGGAG